rnacentral:rRNA from 1 species
AUUGAACGCUGGCGGCAGGCCUAACACAUGCAAGUCGAACGAGUGGCGGACGGGUGAGUAACAAGUGGGUAACCUCCCCACAGAGGGGGAAAACACUUGGAAACAGGUGCUAAUACCGCAUAAUGAUGGAUGAACCCGCGGUGCAUUAGCGAGUGGGUGAGGUAACGGCUCACCAAGGCCACGAUGCAUAGCGGACCUGAGAGGAUGACCAGCCACACUGCAACGGAGACACGGUCAGGACUCCUACGUGAGGCAGCAGUGGGGAAUAUUGCACAAUGGGCGCAAGCCUGAUGAAGCCAUGCGGCGUGUAUGAAGAAGGCCUUCGGGUUGUAAAGUACUUUCAGCGGGGAGGCGUUACCCGCAGAAGAAGCACCGGCUAACUCAGUGCCAGCAGCCGCGGUAAUAC